rnacentral:tRNA from 1 species
UCAGCCAUAGCUCAGUUGGUAGUAGCGCAUGACUGUUAAUCAUGAUGUCGUAGGUUCGAGUCCUACUGGCGGAG